AACGCGAAGAACCUUACCUGGGUUUGACAUGCGCAGGACGCCAGUAGAGAUAUUGGUUCCCUUGUGGCCUGUGUGCAGGUGGUGCAUGGCUGUCGUCAGCUCGUGUCGUGAGAUGUUGGGUUAAGUCCCGCAACGAGCGCAACCCUUGUCUCAUGUUGCCAGCGCGUUAUGGCGGGGACUCGUGAGAGACUGCCGGGGUCAACUCGGAGGAAGGUGGGGAUGACGUCAAGUCAUCAUGCCCCUUAUGUCCAGGGCUUCACACAUGCUACAAUGGCCGGUACAAAGGGCUGCGAUGCCGUGAGGUUAAGCGAAUCCUUUAAAGCCGGUCUCAGUUCGGAUCGGGGUCUGCAACUCGACCCCGUGAAGUCGGAGUCGCUAGUAAUCGCAGAUCAGCAACGCUGCGGUGAAUACGUUCCCGGGCCUGUACACACCGCGCACUA
rnacentral:rRNA from 1 species